ensembl:lncRNA
CACAUACCUUGUGGCCAAAAAGUCAAAACAUUAAAAAAACACACACACACACAAAAACAGAAGCAAUAUUGUAACAAAUCCAAUAAAGAAUUCCAAAAAAAAAAAAAAAGGACAUUCUAUCACAGUCAUACAAAUGAAAAUAUACUCCCAAAGUCAGGUAAAGUCUCUGAAAAUAGGGGCUAGGGAGCUAGUAGAACUCGCGAUGGUGGCGGUGGUGGCCUGGGUGUUGAGCCAGCUCACAUGACCCUCAGCCUUAAGGCGUGCCUCAGUGGUGCUCCUUGCAGGACCAUGCAGCAGAACAAACUGGGAAUGAGGUAGGAGACAGUCGAGCUCCAGUUUGGACGUUUACAACUUGCCUCCUUUUUGCAUUUCAUGGGGCAGGAAGAAGUGGGCUUCAGGCUGGAUCCUUACAACUAGCCUUCUGUUAGCAUUUCCUGAGACAGGAGAUAGGUGGGCUCCAGUUUAGGCCUUUACAAUCAGCCUCCUGUUUGCCCUCAGAAACGGAAGUAACAACAGAUACAGGGUAAAUAGCCUGUCUUUGUCUCUUGUAAACACCUUAAGAUAAUCAUCAUGGCAAGGACAAAGAGGGGCAAAACACUGUUUGAAUAAAGGAUUAAGGGAUCUCCGCUUCCCUCCGCCACCCUUUCUGGGACAAGGGAGACACACCAUGCCGGCAGAAAGGCUCCGGGUGUGUCAAAAGUCAGAGGAUAAUUCCAGGCCAUAAUGCGGCUUGCUGGUCCCAGAAGACUUCACCUCCAGAUUCAUCUUGGCUGAGGGGUGAGUGGGCACCUCAGGGGAAGGAGGGGGGACAAAGUAAGAUGACUGGCCUGAAGGAAGACCAAGAUCUGGAAAACUGCCCCCUGACAACAGAUUUAAACUUCCCAAAGGUGUAACCCCAGAGUUCGCCCCUGAGUCUUUCCACACGUACUCUUCUUUUCCAAUAAACUUUUUACUUUUCUCUUUACCUUCUGCCUCCUCCCCCGAAUUUUUUCUUAACACGGCAGGCAACGACUGGGAAUCCAGGUCCUAGCCUCUGGCCUCUGAGAUCCAGAGGUUAAAUUCCUGAUCAGGAACUAAGCUCUUGUUCCCAGCUUAUGCUCGCUUCUGCUUGCUGCAAGCUGCGGUUACUACUGCGUGCAUCGGAAGUCAGGAAGCGCAAAUACACGGGACAUGAUAAUUGCGAGCUCCUGCCUGGAGAAUCCCAUGGACAGAGGAGCCUGGUGGGUUACAGUCCAUGGAGUCGCCAAGAGUCGGGUAAUCUGGACAGACGCGGGAAGACCGAAUGCCAGCGGAUGAGAUCGAUUCUCUCAGUUCUCUUCCAUCAACGUUUCGUUCUGGGUACUCGGCGAUCCUCCGCGAUGCCUCCGGCACCGCCUCCCCCGGAACCCAC